AUGCACGCUGGCGGCGUGCCUCAUACAUGCAAGUCGCGCGAACAGACGAGGAGCUUGCUCCUCUGACGUUAGCGGCGGACGGGUGAGUAACACGUGGAUAACCUACCUAUAAGACUGGGAUAACUUCGGGAAACCGGAGCUAAUACCGGAUAAUAUAUUGAACCGCAUGGUUCAAUAGUGAAAGACGGUUUUGCUGUCACUUAUAGAUGGAUCCGCGCCGCAUUAGCUAGUUGGUAAGGUAACGGCUUACCAAGGCAACGAUGCGUAGCCGACCUGAGAGGGCGAUCGGCCACACUGGAACUGAGACACGGUCCAGACUCCUACGGGAGGCAGCAGUAGGGAAUCUUCCGCAAUGGGCGAAAGCCUGACGGAGCAACGCCGCGUGAGUGAUGAAGGUCUUCGGAUCGUAAAACUCUGUUAUUAGGGAAGAACAAAUGUGUAAGUAACUAUGCACGUCUUGACGGUACCUAAUCAGAAAGCCACGGCUAACUACGUG
rnacentral:rRNA from 1 species